ACUUGAGUCUGAUGUUAUGAGUCACUGGGGAGAUAUAAUAUGCUGAUUGCUGAACCAGUUUCAGAUUCACCCAGAUGCCUUGGAUAAUUUGUUUUGGAAAACAUAUAUUGAAGAUAUCAGAGCCACAGUAUGACAGAAGACUAGGUCCCAGAAUCACAACUGGAAGGAAAGUCAUGCACUAAUGAAGAAAACAAUUCUUAAGGCUUAUAUGAGCUGAAAACAAACUUCUGUCAUGUUGCUGCCUUUAUCCAUUUUUAAAAGAUGUUUGUCAUCAGUAGUGCUACUCUAAUAAAAUACAUCAUGAGCACAAUAACUUAAACUGGUCUCAUUAUAAAUCCUAGAUCUCCUAUCAUCACAGUUUAAAUCCAGACUACUGGUGUGGAAAGGUAUAUAAAUGCCUUCCAGAAUCUGAAAGGCAUAAUUUUGUUCACUUAUUUCAGGUUUUACUAAGGAUUCCAUACCCUUGGCUUCUGUUGAAUUAUUUC
rnacentral:lncRNA from 1 species